GACGAACGCUGGCGGCGUGCCUAAUACAUGCAAGUCGAGCGGACGAAUCGAAAGCUUGCUUUUGAUUCGUUAGCGGCGGACGGGUGAGUAACACGUGGGCAACCUGCCCUGUAGACGGGGAUAACACCGAGAAAUCGGUGCUAAUACCGGAUAACACGAAAUGUCGCAUGACGUUUCGUUGAAAGACGGCGCAAGCUGUCGCUACAGGAUGGGCCCGCGGCGCAUUAGCUAGUUGGUGAGGUAACGGCUCACCAAGGCGACGAUGCGUAGCCGACCUGAGAGGGUGUUCGGCGACACUGGGACUGAGACACGGCCCAGACUCCUACGGGAGGCAGCAGUAGGGAAUCUUCCGCAAUGGACGAAAGUCUGACGGAGCAACGCCGCGUGAGCGAAGAAGGCCUUCGGGUCGUAAAGCUCUGUUGUUAGGGAAGAACAAGUAACGCAGUAACUGGCGUUACCGUGACGGUACCUAACGAGAAAGCAACGGCUAACUACGUG
rnacentral:rRNA from 1 species